ACCUGACAGCUCUUUACAUUUGCUGUUCGCCCGGGAACUACGAGCGCAAGCUUAAAACCCAAAGGACUUGACGGUGCUUUAUACCCCCCUAGAGGAGCCUGUCCUAGAACCGAUAAUCCCCGUUAAACCUCACCUUUUCUUGCUCAUUCCGCCUAUAUACCGCCGUCUCCAGUCUACCCUGUAAAGGGCCCAUAGUAGGCGAAAUUGGUACAGCCCCAGACGACAGGUCGAGGUGUAGCGUAUGAAAAGGGAAGAGAUGGGCUACAUUCAGUGAAACACUGAAUACGGAAAGCUAAUUGAAACAUUAACUUGAAGGAGGAUUUAGCAGUAAGUGCGG
rnacentral:rRNA from 1 species